AGCUCCAAUAGCGUAUAUUAAAGUUGUUGCGGUUAAAAAGCUCGUAGUUGGAUUUCUGCUGAGGACGACCGGUCCGCCCUCUGGGUGAGUAUCUGGCUCGACCUUGGCAUCUUCUUGAAGAACGUAACUGCACUUGACUGUGUGGUGCGGUAUUCAAGACUUUUACUUUGAGGAAAUUAGAGUGUUCAAGGCAGGCUCGCCAGCUUGAAUACAUGAGCAUGGAAUAAUGGAAUAGGACUACGGUCCCUAUUUCGUUGGUUUGACGGACCGAAGUAAUGAUUAAGAGGGACAAUUGGGGGCAUCCGUAUUUCGUAGUCAGAGGUGAAAUUCUUGGACCUACGAAAGACGAACAACUGCGAAAGCAUUUGCCAAGAGUGUUUUCAUUAAUCAAGAACGAAAG
rnacentral:rRNA from 1 species